AUACGGAGGGUGCAAGCGUUACUCGGAAUCACUGGGCGUAAAGCGCGCGCAGGCGGCUAUUUAAGUUGGAUGUGAAAGCCUAUGGCUCAACCAUAGAACUGCAUCCAAAACUAUUUAGCUAGAGUGUGGGAGAGGAAGAUGGAAUUAGUUGUGUAGGGGUAAAGUCCGUAGAGAUAACUAGGAAUACCAAAAGCGAAGGCAAUCUUCUGGAACACUUCUGACGCUGAGGCGCGAAAGCGUGGGGAGCAAACAGGAUUAGAAACCCCAGUAGUCC
rnacentral:rRNA from 1 species